rnacentral:ncRNA from 1 species
GAUUCCGGGUACUGCAAGUUCCGAAAGGAUUUAUAGAGAAACCGGUGUGAAUCCGGUGCGGUCCCGCCACUGUGACAGGGAGCCGUUAUAGAUGAUCCACUGGACCGGAGAGGUCUGGGAAGGACUGUAAUGGUUGUGAACUGGAGUCAGGAGAACUGCUUGCAGGG